rnacentral:rRNA from 1 species
UACAGAGGUCCCAAGCGUUGUUCGGAUUUAUUGGGCGUAAAGGGCGCGUAGGCGGCUCGGUAAGUCGGGUGUGAAAUCUCAGAGCUCAACUCUGAAAUGGCACUUGAUACUGCUCUGCUAGAGGACUGGAGAGGAGAUUGGAAUUCACGGUGUAGCAGUGAAAUGCGUAGAUAUCGUGAGGAAGACCGGUGGCGAAGGCGGCUCUCUGGACAGUUCCUGACGCUGAGGCGCGAAAGCCAGGGGAGCAAACGGG